UACAGAGACUGCAAGCGUUAUUCGGAUUCACUGGGCGUAAAGGGUGCGCAGGCGGCCGUGUGUGUGGGGCGUGAAAGCCCGGGGCUUAACCCCGGAAUUGCACCUCAAACUACAUGGCUAGAGUACUGGAGAGGGUAACGGAAUUCACGGUGUAGCAGUGAAAUGCGUAGAUAUGCGGAGGAACACCGAUGGCGAAGGCAAUCUCCUGGGCCUGCACUGACGCUCAUGCACGAAAGCGUGGGGAGCAAACAGG
rnacentral:rRNA from 1 species